UAAGGAGAUCCUGUCCCAGUAUUCAUCGCCAGUUCGUUUGCCCUUAUGGACAAAUAACCACGAGCGUCCACCUGGGUCUUUCCUCCUCAAGAGCAGUCUGAUCCUCACCUUCUAUCCAAGCCUCCAGCCACGCCACGCCUUUAGCCAAGUCAAGAUCCUCAAGCCACGCCAGAACUCCAAGCCAUUACUCUCGGUCACCACGCCAGUAUCAUCUCGCCAUCGGACACUUCUCAAUAUACUCACCCUCGGAUCCCUGUCCAGGAAAUUAAAAUCCUUUAUUCGCCA